rnacentral:rRNA from 1 species
AUUGAACGCUGGCGGCGUGCUUAACACAUGCAAGUCGUGCGGUAACAGGCGUAGCAAUACGUGCUGACGAGCGGCGAACGGGUGCGUAAUACAUGGGAAUCUGCCCUUUAGUGGGGAAUAACCCGGCGAAAGCCGGGCUAAUGCCGCAUAAGAUCUUCGGAUAAAAGCGGGGGAUCGUAAGACCUCGCGCUGAUGGAUGAGCCCAUGUCGGAUUAGCUAGNGGUGAGGUAGCGGCUCACCAAGGCGACGAUCCGUAGCUGGUCUGAGAGGACGGCCAGCCACACUGGGACUGAGACACGGCCCAGACUCCUACGGGAGGCAGCAGUGGGGAAUAUUGGACAAUGGGCGAAAGCCUGAUCCAGCGACGCCGCGUGUGUGAAGAAGGCCUGCGGGUUGUAAAGCACUUUCGA